GCAGGCGCAGCCGGCCGGCAGUCCCGUCAGCUGUCCCAGAGCCUGUGUCGCGCCCGUGCCGGUAGCGCCCGUGCCGGUAGCGCCGCUGCCACCGCUCACCAUGGGCCCGGGUCCUCGGCUGCUGCUACCUCUCGUGCUUUGCGUGGGGCUCGGCGCACUUGUGUUUUCUUCGGGGGCCGAGGGCUUCCGCAAGCGAGGCCCCUCGGUGACGGCCAAGGUCUUCUUUGAUGUGAGGAUUGGAGACAAAGAUGUUGGCAGAAUUGUGAUUGGCCUCUUUGGAAAAGUUGUGCCCAAGACAGUGGAAAAUUUUGUUGCUCUAGCAACAGGAGAGGUAUGUCUCAAUUUUAUUUCCUUUAAAUUGGGUCUUCUUUCUUUGAAGCCAAAUAUAAAGAUGUCAUCUGAGAAAAUAAGUAUUAAAUUAGUAUGUCAGAUGAACCUUACCACAUUUGACUUUAUUUUCCAAUUAAAUAUGUAUUAUUUGGGCACUCAGUGCCCUUAGGCUUCUGGAAAUUGGGAGAAAAUCAUCAUCAAGUGAAAAUAUGGUUUGCUCUCUUUUAACUUAUUCACAUUAAUACUCUACUUCCAUAACAUAUUUAUUUUUUGGUCAGCUAAUGAUAAAUUUCUCUCAGUAAACCAUAGCUGGGAUAGAAUCAAGUUCUGUAGGCAUUUUGUUUAAUUUUCUCAGUUUGUCCUUUCUAGAUCAACACUGAGUUUAUCUUUCAGUAUGGCCUCUGUUACUUGUUAUUCAACUGAAGUAAUCUCUUUAGAAAGGAUAUGGAUAUAAAGGAAGCAAGUUUCAUCGUGUCAUCAAGGAUUUCAUGAUUCAAGGAGGUGACAUCACCACUGGAGAUGGCACUGGGGGUAACGUCUUUGCAUUUUUCCUUUCCCAUUUACCAAACCGAAAUCUAAGGUUAAGCCAGUAUAUGAACCCAGUCUGUUGAAAUCCAGAGCUAAGGAACACAGUUGUAAAGACGACUGUACCUCUUUGAGAAGGAUGGAGUUUUGGGGACUCAUCUAGCAGCAUCUCGACAGGUAUGAGGGAGGCGUCCUUAUUUUAAGCAGGAUUGUUUUGGUGUUUAUUGUCUUUCCGUAAUUGAGAUGUAUUCAUUUUGCAGUUAUUAAAAUACCAGACUACUAGUCAGU
rnacentral:lncRNA from 1 species